ensembl:snoRNA SNORD15 Small nucleolar RNA SNORD15
CUUCAGUGAAGAUACGAUGACGAGUCGGAAAUGGACUCCCUCUCUACUGUGGUGGCUGGCUUAGGGUCACGUUUUGUGCCUCUGAGUCUAGUCCUCAGUGGAAAGGUGUUCUGCUCAUUUGAAGACAUCGAGGCAUUUGUCUGAGAAGG